UCCGUAGCUACGGGCCCGGUGGAGUCAGCGGUCAGCAGCACAGUGGCGGGCACCGCACCGCAGCCUGGCAGCCCUGGUACCUCCCAGGCAUCAUUUAUUUUCAUUCCAUGAAAAGUUGUGUGUGCUUCCUGAAGACUCUUUCCCAUGUGCAGCUGUCACACUCCUCAGGUAGUUCAGCACACCCUGGAUGCUGAGAGCCCUGGAUGGUGAAGAGAGGAAACUAGCAAAGGAUCCAGGUCUCCUACUGCUCAGUCAGAUCUGCUCACCUGUGAAUCAGAACUAAGAGCCCUGGAUGGUGAAGAGAGGAAACUGUAGCCAAGG